UACGGAGGGUGCAAGCGUUAAUCGGAAUUACUGGGCGUAAAGCGUGCGCAGGCGGUUUGUUAAGUCUGCUGUGAAAUCCCCGAGCUCAACUUGGGAAUUGCAGUGGAUACUGGCAGGCUGGAGUAUGGUAGAGGAAGGUGGAAUUCCCGGUGUAGCAGUGAAAUGCGUAGAGAUCGGGAGGAACACCAGUGGCGAAGGCAGCCACCUGGUCUCAUACUGACGCUGAGGCGCGAAAGCGUGGGGAGCGAACAGG
rnacentral:rRNA from 1 species